rnacentral:lncRNA from 1 species
ACUCAGGCUCUGCCCAUUUGCAGGGAUUCCGAGUUAAUUAAUCUGGGUGGGGUGGUUUUAUCUCAACGCGCUUCCUUCUAAUAAGUCGCCAAGGUUGGGGAUCGCCAUAGCCCCCCAAGGCAAGUUUGGGAAGCAUCGCCAUGCGCUCUUUCCUGGGUCCAGGCCAUGGGAAGGAAACGGGAGUCAACCCGCCCCCGGAAACCUGAAGCACUGCGUCAGAACCGAACGCCCGGAGCCGCCCGCCCCUGAGUCCAGGCUGAUUCCUCAGGCCGCCGCCGUCCGGGUCGGUUUUGAGACGUGGGCGGUGGACCGCUUCUCAGACCCGCCACCCGCCUCCUGCAGGGAUCUUCCUCCUCCCGGGCUAAGGCUCAGGCUGGCUCCUGCCAGCACAGCGCGCGCGCACACGGGGGAAAGCUUUGAAAAAAUGACGGCGUAGACGAGCUCACCGGCGGCGGGGCUGCGGAGCGGUUGGAGUUGACUCCCUGCAGCAGGGAAUCCCUCGGUCCCACGCCCGCUCCCCGCCCGCAAGCUGCGGCACUGAAGGCCAGGGACGAGGGCAGCGAGCGCGCCGCCCGAGGCUGGUCUGGUUCCCCAAAGAAGAACCCUGAAGCCUCCUGCUGAGGAUUUAAGCUGGAUGCAGGGCCUGUGAGCUGACGGGAUCAGAGUUCAAGUGGAUGUCUCACCCUUAAGUGUGCUUUGUGGUUCUUUAAUCCUGUCGUUUUCUGGUUGGCACCUUGCUCCCACCCUCCCUCGAGCUAUGACUGGGGUCCCUGAGUGCAGAUCUUCC